UCGAGCGGUAAGGCCUUUCGGGGUACACGAGCGGCGAACGGGUGAGUAACACGUGGGUGAUCUGCCCUGCACUUCGGGAUAAGCCUGGGAAACUGGGUCUAAUACCGGAUAUGACCUCAGGUUGCAUGACUUGGGGUGGAAAGAUUUAUCGGUGCAGGAUGGGCCCGCGGCCUAUCAGCUUGUUGGUGGGGUAAUGGCCUACCAAGGCGACGACGGGUAGCCGACCUGAGAGGGUGACCGGCCACACUGGGACUGAGACACGGCCCAGACUCCUACGGGAGGCAGCAGUGGGGAAUAUUGCACAAUGGGCGAAAGCCUGAUGCAGCGACGCCGCGUGAGGGAUGACGGCCUUCGGGUUGUAAACCUCUUUCAGCAGGGACGAAGCGCAAGUGACGGUACCUGCAGAAGAAGCACCGGCUAACUACGUGCCAGCAGCCGCGGUAAUACGUAGGGUGCAAGCGUUGUCCGGAAUUACUGGGCGUAAAGAGUUCGUAGGCGGUUUGUCGCGUCGUUUGUGAAAACCAGCAGCUCAACUGCUGGCUUGCAGGCGAUACGGGCAGACUUGAGUACUGCAGGGGAGACUGGAAUUCCUGGUGUAGCGGUGAAAUGCGCAGAUAUCAGGAGGAACACCGGUGGCGAAGGCGGGUCUCUGGGCAGUAACUGACGCUGAGGAACGAAAGCGUGGGUAGCGAACAGGAUUAGAUACCCUGGUAGUCCACGCCGUAAACGGUGGGCGCUAGGUGUGGGUUCCUUCCACGGAAUCCGUGCCGUAGCUAACGCAUUAAGCGCCCCGCCUGGGGG
rnacentral:rRNA from 1 species